rnacentral:rRNA from 1 species
AUUGAACGCUGGCGGCAGGCCUAACACAUGCAAGUCGAGCGGAUGAAGGGAGCUUGCUCCUGGAUUCAGCGGCGGACGGGUGAGUAAUGCCUAGGAAUCUGCCUGGUAGUGGGGGGUAACGUCCGGAAACGGGCGCUAAUACCGCAUACGUCCUGAGGGAGAAAGUGGGGGAUCUUCGGACCUCACGCUAUCAGAUGAGCCUAGGUCGGAUUAGCUAGUUGGUGGGGUAAAGGCCUACCAAGGCGACGAUCCGUAACUGGUCUGAGAGGAUGAUCAGUCACACUGGAACUGAGACACGGUCCAGACUCCUACGGGAGGCAGCAGUGGGGAAUAUUGGACAAUGGGCGAAAGCCUGAUCCGGCCAUGCCGCGUGUGUGAAGAAGGUCUUCGGAUUGUAAAGCACUUUAAGUUGGGAGGAAGGGCAGUAAGUUAAUACCUUGCUGUUUUGACGUUACCAACAGAAUAAGCACCGGCUAACUUCGUG